UGUUUGCUGUGAUGACAUCUACAAGGACGGUAUCUGAGUAAGGUGGCACUUAAUAAGAUGCCCCUUCAGUGAUUACAUCCAAUCUGAACGAGAUUCUGAGCAAACA
rnacentral:snoRNA from 2 species